GGGAUUUAGCCUCAGUUGGGGAGAGCGCCAGACUGAAAGUCAUUCUUCGGUCAGAGUAAUCUGGGGUCCUGUGUUCGAUCCCACAGAAUUCGCA
rnacentral:tRNA from 1 species